GAGGAAGGAUAGGGGCAGGCUUAACACAUGCAAGUCGAGGGGCAGCGCGGGAUAGCAAUAUCCUGGCGGCGACCGGCGGAAGGGUGCGUAACGCGUGAGCGACAUGCCCGUUGCCCGGGGACAACCGGUGGAAACGCCGACUAAUCCCCGAUGGGAUAUUGUGCCGCAUGGCACGAUAUUGAAAGUUACGGCGGCGACGGAUUGGCUCGCGUCCGAUUAGCUUGUUGGCGGGGUAACGGCCCACCAAGGCUGCGAUCGGUAGGGGUUCUGAGAGGAAGGCCCCCCACAAUGGGACUGAGACACGGCCCAUACUCCUACGGGAGGCAGCAGUGAGGAAUAUUGGUCAAGGGGCGGAAGCCUGAACCAGCCAUGCCGCGUGCGGGAAGGAGGCCCUAUGGGCUGUGAACCGCUUUUGCCUGGGGGCAAUAAGGGCGUCGCGCACGUCCGAUGAGAGUACCAGGCGAAUAAGCAUCGGCUAACUCCGUG
rnacentral:rRNA from 1 species